UACGGAGGGUGCAAGCGUUAAUCGGAAUUACUGGGCGUAAAGCGCACGCAGGCGGUUGAUUAAGUCAGAUGUGAAAUCCCCGAGCUUAACCUGGGAACUGCAUUGGUGACUGGCAGGCUAGAGUGUGGCAGAGGGAGGUAGAAUUCCACGUGUAGCAGUGAAAUGCGUAGAGAUGUGGAGGAAUACCGAUGGCGAAGGCAGCCUCCUGGGCCAACACUGACGCUCAUGCACGAAAGCGUGGGGAGCAAACAGG
rnacentral:rRNA from 1 species